rnacentral:rRNA from 1 species
AGCAGCCGCGGUAAUUCCAGCUCCAAUAGCGUAUAUUAAAGUUGUUGCAGUUAAAAAGCUCGUAGUUGAAUUUCGGGAUCAGACUGUCGGUCGUGCCUCGGUACGCACUGGCAUUAUUGGUUCCUACCUUCUGAAGAACCGCGAUGUCAUUAAUUUGGUGUCGCGGGGAAUCAGGACUGUUACUUUGAAAAAAUUAGAGUGUUUAAAGCAGGCGCACGCUUGAAUACAUUAGCAUGGAAUAAUGAAAUAGGACGUUUGAUUCUAUUUUGUUGGUUUCUAGGAUCGACGUAAUGAUUAAUAGGGAUAGUUGGGGGCAUUAGUAUUCAAUUGUCAGAGGUGAAAUUCUUGGAUUUAUUGAAGACUAACUACUGCGAAAGCAUUUGCCAAGGAUGUUUUCAUUAAUCAAGAACGAAAGUUAGGGGAUCGAAGACGAUCAGAUACCGUCGUAGUCUUAACCAUAAACUAUGCCGACUAGGGAUCGGAUGAUGUUAAUUUUAUAAUGACUCAUUCGGCGCCUUACG